GUUAAGGGGGUUGUUGUCUGGUUCAAGGUCUCCACAUACAUCAUAUACAUGGAGAGCAUGGUAUAUGGAUUGUAUGAUUUGGUGAUCUCGGACCAGGCUUCAAUCCCUUUAAC
rnacentral:pre_miRNA from 3 species